GUCGAGCGGAGAUGAGGUGCUUGCACCUUAUCUUAGCGGCGGACGGGUGAGUAAUGCUUAGGAAUCUGCCUAUUAGUGGGGGACAACAUUCCGAAAGGGAUGCUAAUACCGCAUACGUCCUACGGGAGAAAGCAGGGGAUCUUCGGACCUUGCGCUAAUAGAUGGGCCUAAGUCGGAUUAGCUAGUUGGUGGGGUAAAGGCCUACCAAGGCGACGAUCUGUAGCGGGUCUGAGAGGAUGAUCCGCCACACUGGGACUGAGACACGGCCCAGACUCCUACGGGAGGCAGCAGUGGGGAAUAUUGGACAAUGGGGGGAACCCUGAUCCAGCCAUGCCGCGUGUGUGAAGAAGGCCUUAUGGUUGUAAAGCACUUUAAGCGAGGAGGAGGCUACUGAGACUAAUACUCUUGGAUAGUGGACGUUACUCGCAGAAUAAGCACCGGCUAACUCUGUGCCAGCAGCCGCGGUAAUACAGAGGGUGCGAGCGUUAAUCGGAUUUACUGGGCGUAAAGCGUGCGUAGGCGGCUUUUUAAGUCGGAUGUGAAAUCCCCGAGCUUAACUUGGGAAUUGCAUUCGAUACUGGGAAGCUAGAGUAUGGGAGAGGAUGGUAGAAUUCCAGGUGUAGCGGUGAAAUGCGUAGAGAUCUGGAGGAAUACCGAUGGCGAAGGCAGCCAUCUGGCCUAAUACUGACGCUGAGGUACGAAAGCAUGGGGAGCAAACAGGAUUAGAUACCCUGGUAGUCCAUGCCGUAAACGAUGUCUACUAGCCGUUGGGGCCUUUGAGGCUUUAGUGGCGCAGCUAACGCGAUAAGUAGACCGCCUGGGGAGUACGGUCGCAAGACUAAAACUCAAAUGAAUUGACGGGGGCCCGCACAAGCGGUGGAGCAUGUGGUUUAAUUCGAUGCAACGCGAAGAACCUUACCUGGGCCUUGACAUACUAGAAAC
rnacentral:rRNA from 1 species